AGAGUUUGAUCAUGGCUCAGGAUGAACGCUGGCGGCGUGCCUAAUGCAUGCAAGUCAUACGGGGGAGCAGCCUUCGGGCUGCAAUCUAGUGGCGAAAGGGUGCGUAACGCGUAAGCGACCUACCCUCAAGUGGGGAAUAACCCUGAGAAAUUGGGGCUAAUACCGCAUGUGGUGGUGGCCAAAGGCCACCAUUAAAGCCGAAAGGCGCUUGGGGAAGGGCUUGCGUCCUAUCAGGUAGUUGGUGAGGUAAUGGCCCACCAAGCCGAAGACGGGUAGCUGGUCUGAGAGGACGGCCAGCCACACGGGGACUGAGACACGGCCCCGACUCCUACGGGAGGCAGCAGCAAGGAAUCUUGCGCAAUGGGCGAAAGCCUGACGCAGCGACGUCGCGUGGGGGAAGAAGGCCUUCGGGUUGUAAACCCCUUUUCUCGGGGACGAAGCUCUGACGGUACCCGAGGAAUAAGCCUCGGCUAACUACGUGCCAGCAGCCGCGGUAAUACGUAUGAGGCGAGCGUUAUCCGGAUUUACUGGGCGUAAAGAGGGCGCGGGCGGCCCUCUAAGUCAGGUGUGAAAUCCCCUGGCUCAACCGGGGGAGGUCAUUUGAUACUGGAGGGCUUGAGGACAGCAGAGGGAGGUGGAAUUCCCGGUGUAGCGGUGAUAUGCGUAGAUAUCGGGAGGAACACCAGUGGCGAAGGCGGCCUCCUGGGCUGUUUCUGACGCUGAGGCCCGAAAGCGUGGGGAGCAAACCGGAUUAGAUACCCGGGUAGUCCACGCCCUAAACGUUGGGCACUAGGUCUGGGGGGUAUCGACCCUCUCCGGGCCGAAGCUAACGCUUUAAGUGCCCCGCCUGGGGACUACGGCCGCAAGGCUAAAACUCAAAGGAAUUGACGGGGGCCCGCACAAGCAGCGGAGCGUGUGGUUUAAUUCGAUGCUACGCGAAGAACCUUACCAGGGCUUGACAUGUCGGAAGUAGGAACCCGAAAGGGCAACCACCCGUAAAGCCCGGGAGCCGACACAGGUGCUGCAUGGCUGUCGUCAGCUCGUGCCGUGAGGUGUUGGGUUAAGUCCCGCAACGAGCGCAACCCUCGUUGUCAGUUGCCCUCUCUGACGAGACUGCCCCGCAAAACGGGGAGGAAGGUGGGGAUGACGUCAAGUCAGCACGGCCCUUACGCCCUGGGCUACACACACGCUACAAUGGGCGGUACAGCGGGUUGCCAAACCGCAAGGUGGAGCUAAUCCCUAAAAGCCGUCCUCAGUUCGGAUUGCAGGCUGAAACCCGCCUGCAUGAAGUCGGAGUUGCUAGUAACCGCGGGUCAGCACACCGCGGUGAAUACGUUCUCGGGCCUUGUAGACACCGCCCGUA
rnacentral:rRNA from 1 species